rnacentral:rRNA from 1 species
CGGACGGGUGAGUAAUGCCUAGGAAUCUGCCUGGUAGUGGGGGAUAACGUUCCGAAAGGAACGCUAAUACCGCAUACGUCCUACGGGAGAAAGCAGGGGACCUUCGGGCCUUGCGCUAUCAGAUGAGCCUAGGUCGGAUUAGCUAGUUGGUGAGGUAAUGGCUCACCAAGGCGACGAUCCGUAACUGGUCUGAGAGGAUGAUCAGUCACACUGGAACUGAGACACGGUCCAGACUCCUACGGGAGGCAGCAGUGGGGAAUAUUGGACAAUGGGCGAAAGCCUGAUCCAGCCAUGCCGCGUGUGUGAAGAAGGUCUUCGGAUUGUAAAGCACUUUAAGUUGGGAGGAAGGGUUGUAGAUUAAUACUCUGCAGUUUUGACGUUACCGACAGAAUAAGCACCGGCUAACUUCGUGCCAGCAGCCGCGGUAAUACGAAGGGUGCAAGCGUUAAUCGGAAUUACUGGGCGUAAAGCGCGCGUAGGUGGUUCGUUAAGUUGGAUGUG